rnacentral:lncRNA from 1 species
CACACAAACCAACCGCAUAAGUUUGCAAUAACAAUAUAUCAAAUUUAAGACAUAAUAGUCAUUUUUACAAAGUUAAAAGUUUGCGUCGUUAAUUUACCCAAGAAUCAAACCAUAAUCAAACGUUCUACAAGCACAAACCAAACGUUUUUUAUUCUUUACCAAGUUUGUCUCAGGUCACCAUGCAUGUAAUUUAUUUACAUGUUACAACAACCCACAUGAAGGAUUACGAUUCAUUCGGUUCCAAUUCCAAUUCCAAUUCCUCCGACUGAUUCCAUCCAUUAAAAAAACACUCCACCAACAAACCAACCCUUAAUUCUCUAAUUUUUUUUAAAAAAACAAACAAACAAAAAUCAUUAUACACGAUUAAAAAAUCGUUCUUUUUCCCCAUUUUAUUACAAAAAAAAAACAAAAA